rnacentral:rRNA from 1 species
AGGGCACACGGUGGAUGCCUAGGCAUACAGAGGCGAUGAAGGACGUGUAAAGCUGCGAUAAGCUGCGGGGAGCUGCAUACGAGCAAUGAUCCGCGGAUGUCCGAAUGGGGCAACCCAUCCGCCAAUUGGCGGAUACUCCUUUCGAGGAGGGCGUACGGGGGGAACUGAAACAUCUAAGUACCCCCAGGAACAGAAAACAAUCGAGUGAUUCUCCUAGUAGCGGCGAGCGAACGGGGAGCAGCCCAAACCAGGAUCUUACGAGAUUCUGGGGUAGUAGGACCUGCAUAAUCAAUGAAAGCUUAAGUCGAAACUGCCUGGAAAGCAGUCCCACAGAAGGUGAAAGGCCUGUAGGCGUACGGCGAUCGGCGAGGCGGGUAUCCUGAGUAGCGCGGGGCAGGUGAAACUCUGCGUGAACCAGCCGGCACCAUCCGGUAAGGCUAAAUACAUCUGUAUGACCGAUAGUGAACCAGUACCGUGAGGGAAAGGUGAAAAGAACGCCGAGACGGCGAGUGAAAUAGUACCUGAAACCGUGUGCUUACAAGCGGUCGGAGCCUCUCUUUGAGGGGUGACGGCGUGCCUUUUGUAUAAUGAGCCUACGAGUUGCUCCUGUUGUGCGAGGUUAAGUCCCUCAGGGAUGGAGCCGCAGCGAAAGCGAGUCUGAAUGGGGCGUGCAGUACAGCGGGGCAGACGCGAAACCACGUGAGCUAUCCAUGGACAGGGUGAAGUGGGGGUAAAACCCCAUGGAGGCCCGAACCGACAAGCGUUGAAAAGCUUCCGGAUGAUCUGUGGAUAGGGGUGAAAGGCCAAUCAAACGUGGAAAUAGCUCGUACUCCCUGAAAUAUAUUUAGGUAUAGCGUCUGGUUUUGUUCUGCCGGAGGUAGAGCACUGAUUAGGCUAGGGCCCUUCACCGGGUACCAACCCUAGACAAACUCCGAAUACCGGCCAGAAGCCACCAGGCAGUCAGUGGCAGGGUGAUAACGUCCUGUCGCGAGAGGGAAACAACCCAGACCACCAGCUAAGGCCCCUAAAUGUGUGUUAAGUUGCACAAAGAAAGUUGGGUUGCCCAGACAACUAGGAGGUUGGCUUAGAAGCAGCCAUUCCUUUAAAGAGUGCGUAAUAGCUCACUAGUUAAGCGGCCCGGCGUCGAUAAUAAGCGGGCAUUAAACACGCUGCCGAAGCUGUGGACUCUAAUAGAGUGGUAAGGGAGCAUUCCAGGGGCGCAGAAGCGGAGUUGCGAGACUCCGUGGAGCCCCUGGAAGCGAAACUGUAGGCAUGAGUAACGAUAAGACGGGCGAGAAACCCGUCCACCGUAAACCCAAGGGUUCCUGAUCAACGCUAAUCGGAUCAGGGUUAGUCGAGACCUAAGGUGUAGCCGAAAGGCGAAGCCGAUGGCAAACCGGUUAAAUAUUCCGGUACCGAUUGUAGCGCCAGGCUAAGGCGUGACGCAGAAGUGACACUCCCGCGUGCUGACGAAUGCACGUUAAAGGGCGUAGGCCGGAAAGCAGGCAAAUCCGCUUUCCAUUACGGCUGAACCCCGACAGUACCCAGCGGCUGCGGCCAACGGGAUAGUGGAGGUAAUCCCGCUGCCAAGAAAAGCGUCGUAGUUUGUUACAAUCGCUCGUACCCGAAACCGACACAGGUGGGUGAGGAGAGUAUCCUAAGGUGCUCGAGUAAUUCAUGGCUAAGGAACUAGGCAAAUUCGAUCCGUAACUUCGGGAGAAGGAUCCCCCCGCACGUAGCUUGCUAUGGGCGGGGGCGCAGUGAAAAGGCCCAAACGACUGUUUACCAAAAACACAUGUCUCUGCUAAGCCGCAAGGCGAUGUAUAGGGACUGACACCUGCCCGGUGCUGGAAGGUUAAAGAAGGGGGUUAGCGGUUUACCGCAAAGCUCUUGACUGAAGCCCCAGUAAACGGCGGCCGUAACUAUAACGGUCCUAAGGUAGCGAAAUUCCUUGUCGGGUAAGUUCCGACCUGCACGAAUGGUGUAACGAUUUGGGCACUGUCUCAGCCAUGAGCUCGGUGAAAUUGUGGUAUCGGUGAUGACGCCGAUUACCCGCAGCGGGACGAAAAGACCCCGUGAACCUUUACUACAACUUUACAUUGGCUUUACCGGAAGCAUGUGUAGCAUAGGCGGGAGACACCGAACCCCCUUCGCCAGGAGGGGGGGAGUCACCCAGUGAAAUACCGCCCUUGCUUCAGGUGAAUUCUAACCCUCGAGUCCGGGGGAACAGUGUAUGGUGGGUAGUUUGACUGGGGCGGUCGCCUCCUAAAGAGUAACGGAGGCUCCCAAAGGUACCCUCAGCACGGUCGGCAAUCGUGCGUAGCGUGUAAAAGCAUAAGGGUGCUUGACUGCAAGACACACAGGUCGAGCAGGAACGAAAGUUGGGUUUAGUGAUCCGGUGGCACCGCAUGGAAGGGCCAUCGCUCAAAGGAUAAAAGGUACUCCGGGGAUAACAGGCUUAUCUCCCCCAAGAGUUCACAUCGACGGGGAGGUUUGGCACCUCGAUGUCGGCUCAUCGCAUCCUGGGGCUGGAGAAGGUCCCAAGGGUAUGGCUGUUCGCCAUUUAAAGCGGUACGCGAGCUGGGUUCAGAACGUCGUGAGACAGUUCGGUCUCUAUCUGCUGUGGGCGUAGGAAUAUUGCGGAGAGCUGCUCCUAGUACGAGAGGACCGGAGUGGACGCACCGCUGGUGUACCUGUUGUGUGGUCGCAUGCAUCGCAGGGUAGCCAUGUGCGGAAGUGAUAAGCCGCUGAAUGCAUCUAAGCGCGAAGCACGCUCCAAGAUAAGUAUUCCCUAAGAGCCUCCUGGAAGACGACCAGGUAGAUAGGUAGCAGGUGUACGCAUGGUGACAUGUUUAGCCGAGCUAUACUAAUCAGGCCACAGGCUUCGGUU